CAAGGGGGUGGUGGCGGAAAGGUACUACGAGCGCAGAGUUGUACGUCCGUGCUCGGCUCGACUUGAGUGAGAUGAAAAUAGAUACUAAGAAGAUCGAAACUCCCUUAAGACGAUGCUCAUGGACCAGUCUAGCGCCAUUCCAUCGAGGUGCAUGUCGGAAGGACGCGAAUAAGAUCCGAACAAGAGUGUGGGAGAGUAGUUGGUUACUUGUCAGGUGGUGGUAGUCUCCUCGAAUACCCAAGACACGAUCCAUUGCAGCAGCAACGUGUACUCCUGUACGGUCCACGUGGAAGAUGCACGUGGUCAUACACGAUAGAUCGA